UACAGAGGGUGCAAGCAUUAAUCGGAAUUACUGGGCGUAAAGCGUGCGUAGACGGUCAUGUAAGUCGGGUGUGAAAGCCCCGGGCUCAACCUGGGAAUUGCAUUCGAGACUGCAUGGCUAGGAUGCGGAAGAGGGAAGCGGAAUUUCCGGUGUAGCGGUGAAAUGCGUAGAUAUCAUUUGGAACGCCAAUGGUGAAAACAGGUAGCUGGGGGUCUGCUGACGCUGAGACACGAAAGCCAGGGGAGCAAACGGG
rnacentral:rRNA from 1 species